rnacentral:misc_RNA from 1 species
CAAGGGGAUCAAAUCCGAAGUCUCCAGGGAGGCUUCCAUCAAGCCAUGGCGGAGGGACGCUGCCUGGGAACCAGAUGGGCCUAUCGGGAUCGGCUGCAACGCAAACGGUAACCGACCGUGCUCCGGCCGGUGAUGUACUGUACUUUCUCAGUCUCAGUUUUCUCCCUCCAAAGAAUGAAGCCUUUGUUGCUCCCACAAUUGAUCCACUCUUUUGGGAACUGGGUGAAGAGAGGCCAACAGCAGCAAUAGCUGAAGAAGCAAAAGCAGAGGAGGCCAUGUUUGGCUGAUUUUCUUUUGAUGAAUUUUGAGUGUUUGAUUGGUUUGUG